CAGUUUUCCUUUAAUAUCAGCUAAAAUAUGAGAAUGUGAAUUGCUAUAGUGUAAUUUCUUGGCAACUAUACAGUACAUCAAUUUUACUUGGUGGGUUAUAGUUCAGUAUAGUGAGAAGACAAUGCUUUUUAAAUAUGUUAUGACUGUGGAGCCACUGUGGAGCUCCACAGUAACCGGAUACACGUGACCUCGACAGUAGCCAGAAACACGCAUGGAUACUGUGAAAUUCUUGCAAGUGGAUCGCAAAGGUUGGGACAGAGUCUUUAUUAAAUAAAUUUGCCGUUAGUAAUUUCAUAAUUCUAGGAAUCGUCUAGUUUUCUUACAAUGAACAUGUUGCCACUUUUUUGUGUUACAACAACAUUCAUUCUUAUUUUAAUUUUUUUUUCAUCGUGCUCCAUGGCAGAGAAACACACAGAUAUGCUUUUUCCUGGGCCUGGUUUAAGUAAGAGAGCUGGAUUAACGGCUUCUGUGGGCGUGAAGAAAAAAAAAAACACAUUUUGCAUUAGAAUAUGAUUUAUUGUUGGCCUCAGAGACGCAAAAUAACGAAUACUUCAAUACAGUACUUAAGUAGAAUUUUCUGGUAUCUUUACUUUACUGCUGUACUUUUUUGUGCCUACUGUAUACUUCUGCCUCGGACCGGAAGGCGUUGCAGAGGGUCGUGAAAACUGCCCAACGCAUCGCCGGAGCACCACUUCCUGCCAUAAAGGACAUCUACAGGAAGCGGUGUCUGAAAAGGGCUGGGAAAAUCAUCAGAGACCCCAGUCACCCAUCACAUGGACUCUUCACCCUCCUGCCCUCUGGGAGGCGCUACAGGAGCCUCCGGACUAAGACCACCAGAUGCACACAUCAAUCUGGAAUUUGGGCUUAAAGCCAGAAUUGCAGCAAUGCAACACGUGUUGCAGAGGACUCUUUCACUGCCCUCUGUGCCCCACUUUCAGCCCUGCUGUAAAGACUGAGGAGCAUCUAAGUGUGCAUAUAAAAAAUGCUUUGUAUUUCAACGAUAAAAUGAUAUGCCGGUGCAGACUGCCUUGUAGGACAACAGGACGCUUUUGUAAGAUUACAAUCAUACGGCGUGGGGAUAUGGCAUUUAUUGUCUUGUCAGCAUUCUUCAAUGCCAAGUCAGCCACCAUCAUCAGGACUGCUCCCCACUGAACUCUUCAAGGAGCCCCGUCUCCCCCCCCCCCCCCCCAAGGUUUUGUCUUCGACUGAUGCUCAGAGGAUGGACAUCAUAGUUCUCCCUCUCUGGACACCUGGUCAUUUCCAGUUGUGUGAAUCUUGCAGUGAAGCUCAUUCCCGGGCAGUGGUCAGAAAAAAAGAGCUUUGACUUGAAGGGUUUUUCAAGCCAAGACUAUGGAGUUGACUGUGGGAUCUUCAUGCUGAUGAUAAUUUUUCUCUUCUCUUCUUGAGAUUCAUACAGAAGCUAAUUUAAGCUUCUAAAAAAUUGACAUUUUUAUUUUUUCUUCCAAAUAGUCUGCUCUGUACGUGGCACUGGAUGCACCAUUUGACUAUACUAUAUCAGACAUGCCCUACUUGCGUAAAUGGUGGUGCUUGCUGUUGAUGGAGAACUUUGAUCUCAGGAGCUCUGGCAAGCUAUUUGCACACUGGAGAGAGGAAGCCAAAGCUGUGCUUGAAGGAAAACACGUGCCCAUUUUCAGACUGAAAAAGCAAGAGUUCCAGGAAGUCAGUCAGGAGGAAGCAGUUGUUGAAGAUCUGCGUCCUGCUGUGCAGUGGGUUGUCCAAAAUAAGGCACUUUUCCGUGGACACGUAACAAUGCCAAAAUAUCUGUCCUUAAAUCAAGGGGACCAGCAGAAGGUCUUAAAAGACAUGUCAGAGGAAGAAGACACUGGAGCAAGGGACUUGUUCCUCUUUGUUUUUCAGUUUGCAGAGGACAUGGAGCUCUUUUUGAAAGCAUGUGCUUAUUCAAUUCAAUUCAAUUCAGUUUUAUUUAUAUAGCGCCAAAUCACAACAAAAGUCGCCUCAAGGCGCUUUAUAUUGUACAGUAGAUAGCACAAUAAUAAAUACAGAGAAAACCC
ensembl:lncRNA